rnacentral:rRNA from 1 species
GUGCCAGCCCCGCGGUAAUACCGGCAGCCCGAGUGAUGGCCGAUCUUAUUGGGCCUAAAGCGUCCGUAGCUGGCUGCGCAAGUCCGUCGGGAAAUCCACUCGCCCAACGAGUGGGCGUCCGACGGAAACUGCACAGCUUGGGGCCGGAAGACUCGAGGGGUACGUCCAGGGUAGGAGUGAAAUCCCAUAAUCCUGGACGGACCGCCGGUGGCGAAAGCGCCUCGAGAGGACGGACCCGACGGUGAGGAACGAAAGCCAGGGUCUCGAACCGGAUUAGAAACCCUUGUAGUCC